GUCGCUACGGGCCGAGAAGUAAACACAGAAAGUCUCAGUUGGCGCUCAACGCGGUGCGUGGACGCACAUAGUCGUGUACACUGCUGCAGUCGGCCCGAUAUCGCACGACGCGCACACGUGCCGCGCGCUCCGGACUUCGUUCUCCCGAAGAUGUGCAGCAGCCUCUCGCUGGCGUUGCUCGGUCGUCGCGCGAGCAUCAAGGUGAAGAAGCGCGCUCUGGUUUGAGGAUCGUCACUUCGGCGUCCCCGAACUCGAUUUUCCACGGUUAUCGCGAGUUCUGUGCGCUGAGCCUCGAUUCAGUGCCGGAGGCGAAACUGGAAAGCUCAGGGAACGAUGAGCCAUCAUCACAUUGACAAACCGUGGAUGCAGCCGGGGGCAGGAGCUGGAGGUGGCGGGGGCCACCAGCCGGCAGCUGGAGGCCAAGGGGGUGGCGGUGGGACGGGCGACGAUGAAGCCCCCAAAGAUCCGGGGGCUCGCAUCACCCAUCAAUCCCAUCAGUACACGGAAAAGGACUUCGAAGGUCACCGAGCGCACACGGUCUACGUGGGUGUGCAUCUGCCGGGCGAGCGCAGACACAGGCGGCACCAUAAGCAUCAUCACUCGCGCAAUGGCUCCGGCAAAGAGGGAGAGUCCGAGGGCGAUAGACCCGGUCAGCAAUUGCUGAUGGCGCGCAGGGGUCGACUCGCGAGUAUCUGCGACCCCAACGGCGAGUUGAUAUUUACGCCACCCGCUCAGAGAGUUCAAUUUAUCCUGGGCGAAGAUGUCGGGGACGAUGCUCACGAGUCUCAUCCUCUUUUCUCCGAGAUGGAGGAGCUCGUCAAAGAUGGCGACGAGAUGGAGUGGAAGGAAACCGCCAGAUGGAUCAAGUUCGAGGAGGACGUGGAGGAGGGCGGCAACCGCUGGAGCAAACCCCACGUGGCCACCCUCUCGCUGCACUCGCUCUUCGAGCUCAGAAGUUUGCUGCUGAACGGCACGGUUAUGCUAGACAUGGAGGCAAGCGGCUUGGAACAAAUUACAGACCUCGUUCUCGACAAUAUGGUCAACAAAAGCGUGCUCUCGAUCAACGUUAAAGAUAAGGUACGCGAGGCGCUUCUGGUCCGACACCGACAUCAGUUCGAGAGACGCAAGGAUAACAACAUGUCCAGAUUACCGAUUAUAAGAUCGCUUGCCGAGAUCGGACGAAAUCAUUCGUCAUCGAAGAAUUGUGACUGUUCAUGUGGUAUGCAUGCCUUGUUGACGUCAGAUUUCCAGGAGCGUCGUGAUAACGGUGACGCUUACGCGCCUGCCGUCGCUCGGAGUACGAGCUGUCCCGAUUCGAAUACAGCCUUACUGUCCAAAGAGGCGAAAGACCUUAAAGGCCCUUACCUAUUGGUUCCAGAUGAAAUUGGAAUCCCAUACGUGGUGGGUUUUACAACCUGGUUCGCAAUGUGUCCACUAAAAGUGGAAGAAUCGAAUUCUGCACCGGCUAUCGCCGCCGUGGGUCAGGGCGGUGGUGCAGGACUGAAUCCGAGCGGCCGCUUUCUAGCCAUACCCGGUAACCCUGGUCAAGAACCCGGGCCAAUGGGCAUCGAUCGAAGUCCCAGCAGUAUGUCCAUUAGCAGAAAUCAUAGUUCAAGUGCUUUAGAAAAUGGGGACGCAAAUCAUAGGGGUAAUACACAUUUUAUGCGUAAAAUACCUGCGGGAGCUGAGGCCAGUAAUAUUUUGGUUGGAGAGGUUGAUUUUCUGGACAAAACCCUAUCUGCCUUCAUCCGUCUUAGUCAAGCAAGUAUAAUGGGCGACUUAACAGAGGUGCCAGUACCGACAAGAUUCAUUUUCAUAUUACUUGGCCCUACGGGCGGUAUUUCAAGUUUUCAUGAAAUUGGUCGAGCUAUGGCAACGUUAAUGUCAGAUGAGGUCUUCCACGACGUAGCUUAUAAAGCGAAAAAUAGAAAUCAUUUAUUGGCUGGGAUCGAUGAGUUUCUUGACGCUGUUACUGUUUUACCGCCAGGUGAAUGGGAUCCUACCAUUAGAAUAGAACCACCCGCUGCUAUUCCUUCACAAGAUACGAGAAAAAGACCAAAGGAAGAGAAAUUAGAAGAAAUCGAUGAAGAAGCAGAUGAACAAAAAUUACGGGAUGAGUCAGGACUUUCCAGAACAGGCAGACUUUUUGGAGGAUUAAUAAACGAUGUUAAACGGAAGGCACCAGUUUACUUCUCUGAUUUCAAAGAUGCCGUAGCUCUCCAAUGCGUUGCCUCAUUCAUCUUUCUUUAUUUUGCCUGCCUCUCGCCUAUUAUCACAUUCGGUGGUCUUCUUAGUGAAGCCACUGGUAAAAACAUGGCGGCUAUGGAAUCUCUUGUUUCUGGUUUUGUAUGUGGAUUGGGAUAUGGCUUCUUUUCUGGCCAACCACUCACCAUUUUAGGAUCUACAGGUCCAGUGCUGGUAUUUGAGACAAUUGUUUUCGAAUUUUGCAAGAAGUACGAUUGGGAUUACAUGUCGUUUCGAUUUUGGAUUGGCACUUGGAUAACCAUCAUUUUAAUCAUCUUGGUUGCAAUCGACGCCAGCGCUUUAGUUUGUUAUAUAACAAGAUUCACCGAAGAGAAUUUUGCAACCUUGAUCGCUUUUAUUUUCAUUUAUAAGGCUGUCGAAAAUGUACUGACGAUAGGAAAAAAAUUCCCUAUAAAUCCUCAUGCGACCGAUGUAAAUUUUUCAUCCAACUAUGAACUAUGUUUAUGCAAACCUCCAAACAGUACUCUCAAUUUAUUGCCACCUGGUCAUGAACAUGUCAAUUGGUCAGCUAUGAGUAGGAUUGCGUGUCAGAACUUCAACGGCACGGUCAUUGACGAUUGCCACCAACCGCACUAUGUACCCGACGUGUUCCUAAUGUCAAUUAUUCUUUUUAUGGGUACAUUUUUGGUUUCGGUGGAGUUGAAAGAUUUUAAAAAUGCUCUUUUCUUUCCUUCAAAGGUCAGGGCGAUUGUUAGUGAUUUUGCCGUUAUCAUAGCCAUUUUCUCAAUGUCGCUUAUGGAUUAUUUUGUUGGAAUCGCUACUCCAAAACUGGAAGUUCCUGCUGAGUUUAAACCCACUUUGGAUGGUCGUGGUUGGAUGAUAUGGCCUUUCAACAGGAAUCCAUGGUGGAGUGCGCUCAUAGCAGUUGCUCCAGCACUGCUUGGCACGAUUCUGAUUUUCAUGGAUCAGCAAAUUACGGCAGUCAUCGUUAAUCGGAAAGAAAAUAAACUGAAAAAAGGAUGUGGUUACCACUUGGAUCUUUUCGUUCUGGCGAUCCUAAUCGAGAUUUGCUCUAUUAUGGGUCUGCCCUGGUUUGUGGCUGCGACAGUACUCUCGAUUAACCACGUCAACUCGUUAAAGUUGGAAUCUGAAUGUGCAGCACCGGGUGAGAAGCCUCAGUUCCUAGGAGUACGCGAGCAGAGGGUUACACACAUCCUGAUCUUUUUGAUGAUCGGUUGUUCAGUUUUUUUGACACCAAUGUUGAAGCACAUACCAAUGCCAGUGCUCUUUGGCGUAUUUCUUUAUAUGGGAGUGGCAUCUUUAAAAGGACUACAGUUUUUCGACCGGAUAAUGAUCAUGUUAAUGCCCGUCAAAUAUCAACCAGAUUAUAUGUUCCUUCGGCAGGUACCACUGAAACGAGUUCACUUGUUCACUUUGAUACAACUCACCUGCCUUGCCUGCCUUUGGAUCAUCAAAUCAUUUAGUUCGACUUCUAUUCUUUUCCCACUAAUGUUGGUAGUUAUGAUUGGCAUUAGGAAAAGCCUGGAUUUACUUUUUACCCAGAGAGAAUUGAAAAUUUUGGACGACGUAAUGCCAGAACCGCAUAAGAAGCAUGCUGAAGACCUUCGCCAAUUGGAGAAUGGCGAGGAGCACAACGACUCGAUCGGCUUCGCGUCGUCUGGUAACUUGCAGAUUCCUUUGGCCAAUGGAAAUAUUAUGAAAAUACCCCUCACAAGCAUAAAUAUCAGCGAGGAGGUGAAUAAAACUGGUAUCUGGCAGCAGGUCAACGAGGGAAACGACAAAAACAAACAGUCUAAUAAGUUGAUCAAUGUAGGGAAACAGAAGAAGCAUUCGAAGAAAGAUGCUGUUCUGUCAACAGACGAGACGACGAGGCUAACUACUAUGACGGAGGAAGACGAGGAUGACGGUGGCAUAUCAAUCAAGGUGAAAAACGUUAACAACUCUAAAUUUUAACCAUCACUACUACAACAACUACUACUACUACCAUCACCGAGAAUAACAGUACACGGCAAGAGCACGAUACACCGGCAUGCGACAUAACCCUAUGUAUUACGGCUGUUGACUUGAUACGAUCGAAAGAUACUAGUCCUUUCAAGGCAAAUGGUACUACUUCCGCCGAGACUUCCGUCUGAUUUGUACAUCAAAUACACAAUGCCGUUAUCAAUUCAUACAAAAUAUGAAGUCACGUUUACAAAAGUUACUUUAACAGUUAAGAUUUCAACUGAAUAAUCUCUGAAGAUUUCCGAGGUUUUAUAUACAAUUCAAGAUAGUGACAAACAAUAUUAGUAACAAAUUAGCACGGAAUAGUGAAAUGAAUGACUCAUUAACAUGAUAAGACGAUUUAAUAUAGACGAUAUUUAUUUUACAAUCUGAUGAUCCGUAUACUUCGUACGAUAAAACAAAUUAUAAAUUAUUGUAAUAGCAAAGUAUUAUUUUGACGAUGAUCAUGAUAAUAAAUUUACGUAUUUUGGCGAAUUUUAAGACCUUGAAAAAUGUUUGUGUCAUAAAUUGUGCGUAAUUAUUAAUCGCGUGAGAAGUGAAAGUAUAAGUGCAAGAUGCGUUUUCAGAGACAGUUUUAUAGUAAAGAGGCUCUAUUAUUAAAGACAUUAUUUCUACACCGAAAUUAUAACUUAUUGUAAAAUGUCAGAUGAUAGAUAAUGUCGUUGUGUUAAUUGCAAUUCACAUGUUAUUCAUAUGAUCGCACGCAUUCUUCAAAAGUAUUUGAUAAACUUACAUCACUGAGAUGAUAACAAUUUUUUAAUACAAGCAAAUAAUUAAUGAUUAUAAAAAUGUAGCAUUGCAUUUUACACUGAAACGCACAUUUCUAAUGACAUUAAAGAAUAUCAAUAAGUUCUCACAUAAUUUAAAUAGGUACAAUAUGUAAAGGAACUUAUGACAUUUGAAAAACUCGUUAAAAAUAGCAAAGAAUUCUUAAAGAUGUUUGUUAAAAUUUGUAUCAUUUGUUGUAGAGAUAUGUUAUGUAGCAUUAUAAAAAUUAGCAUGUUUAAAUAUUUACUUAGCGUUAAUGAUUCAUGCUUACUGGUUGACAUUAUUUUUAAAAAUACCGUAAAGUGAUUAAGACUUUACUAGCAUUCUAUAAGUUGUAAAAAUAUAUUUCAAUUUACUAAGCAAAAUGCCAAAAAACCCCGAAUGAGUGCUUCCUUUAAAAACUAUCACUAUUUGCUUUACCAAAUGAAAUAGUUUUUUAUGGUGGAAUGCACGUACGAUGUUUAGUACUGUUACAAGAGUCAUUGCAUUUUUAAAAGAAGAACGUUCUUUAAUGCAAAGAAACGGCGUUUACUGGAUAUAAAAGAAGAUGUGAUUUUCAAGUAAAAAAUUGAGACUCGUUUAGUUUAAAUUUUUUGAAGAACAUUCUUCUUAGGACCGAAUAUAUGUAAAAAAGUUAAAAAAUGGUUAUUAAAGAAUUACUAAAAUAAAUUUUCAGUUUGUUGAUUAAUUUGAUCGUAGGAAUAAUUUGAAUUAUGCGAAAUUAAAAAAAACUUGCAUUUCUACUGUUAAAUGACCUCCAAUGUUUAAUUUUAUUCUUGUUGAAUCAUCUAUACGUGAGAAGGUUCACGUUUUUAUAUUUAAUUAAAAUUGAUGAUAAGAAAGUUGAUGGGAAAAUAAUGUAAUUUUCAGAGCACGUCUUUAAAGUGCAUGUACCAGUUUAUUCAAUGUAUCAAAAUCUCAUUAUGUAAAACAUGGCAAUGUUCGAUAUUAAACAUCGUAGAUUUAGAGAACGUCAGAAUUAUUAGUAUUAUUUGGUUGUGAUUAGAUAAUCAUUGUAUUUCGAUUACGUGAUAAAAUGCGAAUCAUAAAUGAAUUCUGUAAAAUGGUUUAAUUGAAAACCGCAAUAUUCUAAUGCAAUAAUUUUAUUUUACUAAAGUUACAUUUCAAGCAAUCGCAAAAUUGUAAAGAUCUGUAAUUGAAAUGCGAAGGAAAACAGCUGGGAGCUUCAAUGAAUUUUCGAAGACGUGUGAUUGCAAUUUAUUAUAUACUCGUCUAUUAAACUAUUAUUAAAACUGAGGAGGCAUUAUAUUGUUUAAUUAAGAAGUUUUUAUUGUAUUUUGCGUAUAGAGGAAAGUGAUAUAAGUUUGGCAUUUUUAUCGUCAUCUUGUAUCGAUGUAAAUAAAUAAAUGCGUGUAUAGAUUAGGACAAAAAUAUGGUUAAUGUAAUAAAAUAUCAUUGAUACAAGCUUA